ensembl:lncRNA
CAUUUAUUAAUGCAUCAAUGUUAAGACAAAUACAGUUAAGAAAUAAAUAUUUAUUUACACACGACAUCUGGAAUUAGAGUUGAAUUGGAGCACGGUAAACGAACUAACAUGGUAAAUACACUGAAGUACAAAACAAAAGAGAAAUCAUACAUUGCACAAAACAUGGUGGAAAAAGACGAGGUGUGUAUGAGGUGUGUAUGAGGUGUGUAUGAGGUGUGUAUGAGGUGUGUAUGAGGUGUGUAUGUGGUGUGUAUGAGGAGUGUAUGUGGUGUGUAUGAGGUGUGUAUGAGGUGUGUAUGAGGAGUGUAUGUGGUGUGUAUGAGGUGUGUAUGUGGUGUGUAUGAGGUGUGUAUGAGGUGUGUAUGUGGUGUGUAUGAGGUGUGUAUGUGGUGUGUAUGAGGUGUGUAUGAGUUGUGUAUGAGGAGUGUAUGUGGUGUGUAUGAGGAGUGUAUGUGGUGUGUAUGAGGUGUGUAUGUGGUGUGUAUGAGGUGUGUAUGUGGUGUGUAUGAGGUGUGUAUGAGGUGUGUAUGAGGUGUGUAUGAGGAGUGUAUGAGGUGUGUAUGAG